UGCAGCACCAUCAGGGCCUUCCUGGUGCCCUUCAUUCCACCGGAAUCUGUCAAUACAGAAACCAGAUUUCAGUGGAAUGAAGCCCGUCAGAGAGGCAGGUCA
rnacentral:pre_miRNA from 10 species